AUGGCAGACUUCCUUAUCGCUUUUUAAAGAGGAAAGUCCGGACACCAUUGAGUAUCACAGUGGGUAACACCCACCGCUAGUAAUAGUAGGAAUAGUGCAACAGAAAGUAUGUACAGUUCGGCUGUAGUGAAAUCAUGUAAACUCUGUGAGGUGAAACGCCAAGUAAAUCAAUGCUAGAGGAUUACUCAUCCGAAAUUGAAGGGUAGGCGGUUAGAACAUAUUAGUAAUUUUGUGUCAAGAUAAAUGAUAAGGCUAGACAGAAUCCGGCUUACAGGUCUGCCAUUUUU
rnacentral:RNase_P_RNA from 1 species